UACAGAGGGGGCAAGCGUUGUUCGGAAUUACAGGGCGUAAAGGGCGCGUAGGCGGCCUUCUAAGUCGAACGUGAAAUCCCCGGGCUCAACCCGGGAACUGCGUCCGAGACUGGAAGGCUUGAAUCCGGGAGAGGGAUGUGGAAUUCCAGGUGUAGCGGUGAAAUGCGUAGAUAUCUGGAGGAACACCGGUGGCGAAGGCGGCAUCCUGGACCGGUAUUGACGCUGAGGCGCGAAAGCCAGGGGAGCAAACGGG
rnacentral:rRNA from 1 species